rnacentral:rRNA from 1 species
GACGGAGGGGGCUAGCGUUGUUCGGAAUGACUGGGCGUAAAGGGCGCGUAGGCGGUUUUUUAAGUGAGGCGUGAAAGCCCUGGGCUUAACCCAGGAGGUGCGUUUCAGACUGGAAGACUUGAGUGCGAGAGAGGAAAGUGGAAUUCCUAGUGUAGAGGUGAAAUUCGUAGAUAUUAGGAAGAACACCCGUGGCGAAGGCGGCUUUCUGGCUCGCAACUGACGCUGAGGCGCGAAAGCGUGGGGAGCAAACAGG